GCGGAAGUGGCGGAACUGGCAAACGCGCAGCGUUCAGGACGCUGUGGGCGAAAGCCCUUAGGAGUUCAACUCUCCUCUUCCGCACCA
rnacentral:tRNA from 1 species